AACGAACGCUGGCAGCAUGCCUAACACAUGCAAGUCGAACGAGACCUUCGGGUCUAGUGGCGCACGGGUGCGUAACGCGUGGGAACCUGCCCUUAGGUUCGGAAUAACUCCCCGAAAGGGGUGCUAAUACCGGAUAAUGUCUUCGGACCAAAGAUUUAUCGCCUUUGGAUGGGCCCGCGUUGGAUUAGCUAGUUGGUAGGGUAAAAGCCUACCAAGGCGACGAUCCAUAGCUGGUCUGAGAGGAUGAUCAGCCACACUGGGACUGAGACACGGCCCAGACUCCUACGGGAGGCAGCAGUGGGGAAUAUUGGACAAUGGGCGAAAGCCUGAUCCAGCAAUGCCGCGUGAGUGAUGAAGGCCUUAGGGUUGUAAAGCUCUUUUACCCGGGAUGAUAAUGACAGUACCGGGAGAAUAAGCGCCGGCUAACUCCGUG
rnacentral:rRNA from 1 species